ensembl:snoRNA predicted gene, 23442
UCCUCCCCACAAAGGCGUGUUUUUGGUUCCUUGUCCAUGAACACGUAAGAGUCGGAGGCAAAGAAAUGUGGAUUUGCAGAGAUCUGGGACCUGCUUGCUCCCCGCAGGCUCCGGAUCAGCUGUCCCACAGAG